rnacentral:rRNA from 1 species
UACGGAGGGAGCUAGCGUUGUUCGGAAUUACUGGGCGUAAAGCGCACGUAGGCGGCUUUGUAAGUCAGAGGUGGAAGCCUGGAGCUCAACUCCAGAACUGCCUUUGAGACUGCAUCGCUUGAAUCCAGGAGAGGUGAGUGGAAUUCCGAGUGUAGAGGUGAAAUUCGUAGAUAUUCGGAAGAACACCAGUGGCGAAGGCGGCUCACUGGACUGGUAUUGACGCUGAGGUGCGAAAGCGUGGGGAGCAAACAGG